rnacentral:misc_RNA from 1 species
AUUUAAAAAAAAAAAAAAAACUAGAAAGGAUGAUGUGAUGAUCAGCAUUCUUUUGAACAACCAAGCACCUAUAUGAAAUCGCAAGAAUUUUGGUUGAAGGUUGAAGUAGCACAGAACCUUUUUCUGUGGUAAAAUUCUUCCUAUAUUUUAUUCAAAAUACUGUCGCACUUGAGCUUCAAUCUUCCUGUAUAGAAUAUGAACUGGGUCAUUUAACUGACAGGCUUUUAUUGGUAGUAGGUUUAUUGGAUUCGUCCGGACUUGAUGAACACAUGAAGCCAAACCAGUAGAACUUUUAAUCCUUCAUAUGACUGGGAAACUGUGGAGUCUAUCUCUGCAAGAUUGAUGUCAUGGCUUUUUCCAACUUCAAAAGUGUACCAGACACUGGAAUGGAAAUCCUAGUUCAACUUCAUUCGACAUUGAACUGAAUAUAAAGACUGCUGUGCUGUAUCCAAAGUGGUGAUAAUGUGCAUAAUCUAACUUUUUGAGACCCCCCAUUGACGCAAUUCAUUAUUCUGGGUUUCAAGUUAAUGUAAGUGGGGAAAUGUAUCACGAGAAACUAACAUUAUAAGUUACAAUGUGUAUCAAGGAAAUUGCAGGAUGUGAAGCAGAAACAUAUACAACAAAUGUAAGCACAGUAUUCCUAUUUGGUUAUAACUUCUAUUUGUUGGGAUGGAAUUGGAAAUCCUGAAAGGCAGUUUUCAUCUGUCAGAUUUAUUGUUUUUAUGCGAGCACUCUUCGUCUACAAAACAUGAGAUGGCCGAUGGGGAAUGAAUGCUUCAGGAUGCAAUUUUUCCUUCACAAAAGUUCAGAUCCUUGUGACAGAUUAGAUUAGGUUGUCUCCAAACACCACAUUUUCACAAUUGUUAAUCAAAUUAUAGGCAGACAGAUUUGGGAAGUAAACCAACAUGGAAACAGACAAAUAAGAGAUAAAUAUUAACUACCAGAACAUAUAAAAGAAGAAAUCAGCUUUAGAAAGGAAUAUCUUAAUGUGAAAUUUCCAAUCAUGGCACAGAAACUCAAGAGAUCUCCCAUCACAGGCUGCAGCUCAGUUGCCGGCAAUUGCAUUCGAUAAGAAAUCUUAACUGUUGCCCAAAUAGAGCUGGAUACAUCUACCUAGGAGCAAAGUUGAAUGAAUAAAUCCUCAAGCAUUACGUUAUUUCUUCUGGUAUAGCCAAUACAAUAUCGCCAACAAUUCAAUUGCCUUGGAAGAGUAAAAGAAGGCCCCAACAUUAUACAACAACUAGCUAAUAUGCUAAUUAAUGUUACAGAUGCAAAUAAGAUCUAGAAGCAUAUUAUCCACUGGCAUUAUCAGCAG